ensembl:lincRNA
CGGUGUGCCUGGCCCAGCGGGGAGGGCGCUCAGGCGCGGGGCAAAGGAGGGACCCGGCAGGCGGGAGCUAGGACGGGGACCCUGCUGGGCCCAGCGCAUCAGUUGAUGGCGUCUGCCCAUCCCAGCCGGUGUUGCCUAGCUGGAGGCAGUGUCCAGUUGCGACACCAGAGACACCAGGGACACCAAGGGCCCCAUUGUCCCAGCGAGGCAUGGUCUGCACUCUCGGUUCCUGGGGACAUUUGUCAAGUGUAUGGUUCCUCUGCCAGACCUGGGGCCCAUCAUCUGCUGACCUUGGGGAGGGAGGAAGGAGGGCAGUGGAGGAAAAGCAGCCAGCCCUCUGUCCAACCACCAGAAGCACACAUCCGGGUGACAGAAGUCGCCUAUCUGAUCUGUCCACCUCCAUCCUCACCACCUCUUAGUGUGCUUGGGCACGGUCACCACUUCCUCUUCUCCGAACCUUCCAUGGCUCCCACCGCGGUCAGAACAGAGUUCCAACUCCUUCUCAGUUAACUCUGCUGUUUCCACCAGACUAAUGGAAUCUGAAGCCUGAACGUUUCCAUCUCAUCUCCUUCGAGUACGUAAUUUACACACCGUAUAUCGGGGCAGCCUUCGGAACUCUUCCCAUAAAAUCCCAGAAAUGAGAGCCACCUGUACAGCAGACAGCCUGGAUUCUGGGUGCCCGGCCGUUUUGGGGCAGGAGAAAUCAGGAUCAAGACACUCCAGUCUCCCAUCGGGACCCAGAACCAAGAGGACGAGUGCCAGAACGUGAAACCUGGGGCUCCUGCCACUCCCGGCCACCACAGACGGCGGCGCCUCCAGUAAUGGUGAUGGCGCGCCCCGCGGCACUCAGGGACUCCGAAUGCCUCGAGUGGGAAACGCGCCCCAGGACUCUGUGGACACUCAGGAACAAAGGCCGGGUAAGGAGAAAGUGCCUGGCCCUGGUGGAAGGCCGAGGUUAGGGAGGCGCAGCCACAGACUGGGAGCAGGAACACCUCCGCCCUCCUCUCCCUCCGCCGCCCGCAUACCUCCGCCGCAGCCGAGCAAAAGUACCCGACGCGGAAGUUGCGACGGCCAGGGACCACCCCAGUUCCGGGAACAGCUCUGUGAGCUGCGCUUCGUCGCCUAGGUAACUGGGAAAGGCGCGCCUGCCUCAGGGUCCAAGGGACUCAAACUACGCCACCCGCGCCUUUGCAAGGCUGACGAAUGAGAAUCUAGGAAAAACGGUUGUGGGCGUGUCCUAGCACUAUGGCCCAAUGAGGGCCUUCGGGUGGGGCUUCAUUAAAUUGCUAAUUUUUCCAGGCUGGCAUGACCUUUGAUCUUCCUGCCUCAGCUUCCCGGAGUCCUGGGAUUACAGGUUUGUUCUACCUCACCUGGCUCCAGGACAGUCCUUGAUCUUUUUUUUUCAUUGGAGGUGGAAAAUUCUGCUGAACCCAUUCCCAAUAGGUGAAGCAGUUGCAGGUAUAGAGCUCACUUUCGGGUUGUAUGUCCCCAAUCUAAGUAGCUUCAACAAAAGUAAUUACUGGUACACGAAACCCAAAAAACCCACUUGGCAUCUGCCUUCAGGUACUAAAUAGAUCUGGGGCUCAAAUUCUUAAGCCCCGUUCACUGACCUUCACUCAACUUUUCUCUGCAGCAAUUCAUGGGCAGGGCUCCCUGGAGAGUUAUGCCAGCAGCCCAACUCAUAGAUAUCUAAGGUCAUAGGGACAUGGCUUUGGAUAUUCUGAUGCCCGCACGUACACAGAAAAAGCCCCAGAGGCUGGAGAUGUAGUUCAGGGGCACCGCAGCUGCCUCACAAGUGCAAGGUCCUGAGUUCAAUACCCAGCACA